UUAAGCGACUAAGCGUACACGGUGGAUGCCCUGGCAGUCAGAGGCGAUGAAGGACGUGCUAAUCUGCGAUAAGCGUCGGUAAGGUGAUAUGAACCGUUAUAACCGGCGAUUUCCGAAUGGGGAAACCCAGUGUGAUUCGUCACACUAUCAUUAACUGAAUCCAUAGGUUAAUGAGGCGAACCGGGGGAACUGAAACAUCUAAGUACCCCGAGGAAAAGAAAUCAACCGAGAUUCCCCCAGUAGCGGCGAGCGAACGGGGAGCAGCCCAGAGCCUGAAUCAGUGUGUGUGUUAGUGGAAGCGUCUGGAAAGGCGCGCGAUACAGGGUGACAGCCCCGUACACAAAAAUGCACAUACUGUGAGCUCGAUGAGUAGGGCGGGACACGUGGUAUCCUGUCUGAAUAUGGGGGGACCAUCCUCCAAGGCUAAAUACUCCUGACUGACCGAUAGUGAACCAGUACCGUGAGGGAAAGGCGAAAAGAACCCCGGCGAGGGGAGUGAAAAAGAACCUGAAACCGUGUAUGUACAAGCAGUGGGAGCACGCUUAGGCGUGUGACUGCGUACCUUUUGUAUAAUGGGUCAGCGACUUAUAUUCUGUAGCAAGGUUAACCGAAUAGGGGAGCCGAAGGGAAACCGAGUCUUAACUGGGCGUUAAGUUGCAGGGUAUAGACCCGAAACCCGGUGAUCUAGCCAUGGGCAGGUUGAAGGUUGGGUAACACUAACUGGAGGACCGAACCGACUAAUGUUGAAAAAUUAGCGGAUGACUUGUGGCUGGGGGUGAAAGGCCAAUCAAACCGGGAGAUAGCUGGUUCUCCCCGAAAGCUAUUUAGGUAGCGCCUCGUGAAUUCAUCUCCGGGGGUAGAGCACUGUUUCGGCAAGGGGGUCAUCCCGACUUACCAACCCGAUGCAAACUGCGAAUACCGGAGAAUGUUAUCACGGGAGACACACGGCGGGUGCUAACGUCCGUCGUGAAGAGGGAAACAACCCAGACCGCCAGCUAAGGUCCCAAAGUCAUGGUUAAGUGGGAAACGAUGUGGGAAGGCCCAGACAGCCAGGAUGUUGGCUUAGAAGCAGCCAUCAUUUAAAGAAAGCGUAAUAGCUCACUGGUCGAGUCGGCCUGCGCGGAAGAUGUAACGGGGCUAAACCAUGCACCGAAGCUGCGGCAGCGACGCUGAUGCGUUGUUGGGUAGGGGAGCGUUCUGUAAGCCUGCGAAGGUGUGCUGUGAGGCAUGCUGGAGGUAUCAGAAGUGCGAAUGCUGACAUAAGUAACGAUAAAGCGGGUGAAAAGCCCGCUCGCCGGAAGACCAAGGGUUCCUGUCCAACGUUAAUCGGGGCAGGGUGAGUCGACCCCUAAGGCGAGGCCGAAAGGCGUAGUCGAUGGGAAACAGGUUAAUAUUCCUGUACUUGGUGUUACUGCGAAGGGGGGACGGAGAAGGCUAUGUUGGCCGGGCGACGGUUGUCCCGGUUUAAGCGUGUAGGCUGGUUUUCCAGGCAAAUCCGGAAAAUCAAGGCUGAGGCGUGAUGACGAGGCACUACGGUGCUGAAGCAACAAAUGCCCUGCUUCCAGGAAAAGCCUCUAAGCAUCAGGUAACAUCAAAUCGUACCCCAAACCGACACAGGUGGUCAGGUAGAGAAUACCAAGGCGCUUGAGAGAACUCGGGUGAAGGAACUAGGCAAAAUGGUGCCGUAACUUCGGGAGAAGGCACGCUGAUAUGUAGGUGAAGUCCCUCGCGGAUGGAGCUGAAAUCAGUCGAAGAUACCAGCUGGCUGCAACUGUUUAUUAAAAACACAGCACUGUGCAAACACGAAAGUGGACGUAUACGGUGUGACGCCUGCCCGGUGCCGGAAGGUUAAUUGAUGGGGUCAGCGCAAGCGAAGCUCUUGAUCGAAGCCCCGGUAAACGGCGGCCGUAACUAUAACGGUCCUAAGGUAGCGAAAUUCCUUGUCGGGUAAGUUCCGACCUGCACGAAUGGCGUAAUGAUGGCCAGGCUGUCUCCACCCGAGACUCAGUGAAAUUGAACUCGCUGUGAAGAUGCAGUGUACCCGCGGCAAGACGGAAAGACCCCGUGAACCUUUACUAUAGCUUGACACUGAACAUUGAGCCUUGAUGUGUAGGAUAGGUGGGAGGCUUUGAAGUGUGGACGCCAGUCUGCAUGGAGCCGACCUUGAAAUACCACCCUUUAAUGUUUGAUGUUCUAACGUGGACCCGUAAUCCGGGUUGCGGACAGUGUCUGGUGGGUAGUUUGACUGGGGCGGUCUCCUCCUAAAGAGUAACGGAGGAGCACGAAGGUUGGCUAAUCCUGGUCGGACAUCAGGAGGUUAGUGCAAUGGCAUAAGCCAGCUUGACUGCGAGCGUGACGGCGCGAGCAGGUGCGAAAGCAGGUCAUAGUGAUCCGGUGGUUCUGAAUGGAAGGGCCAUCGCUCAACGGAUAAAAGGUACUCCGGGGAUAACAGGCUGAUACCGCCCAAGAGUUCAUAUCGACGGCGGUGUUUGGCACCUCGAUGUCGGCUCAUCACAUCCUGGGGCUGAAGUAGGUCCCAAGGGUAUGGCUGUUCGCCAUUUAAAGUGGUACGCGAGCUGGGUUUAGAACGUCGUGAGACAGUUCGGUCCCUAUCUGCCGUGGGCGCUGGAGAACUGAGGGGGGCUGCUCCUAGUACGAGAGGACCGGAGUGGACGCAUCACUGGUGUUCGGGUUGUCAUGCCAAUGGCACUGCCCGGUAGCUAAAUGCGGAAGAGAUAAGUGCUGAAAGCAUCUAAGCACGAAACUUGCCCCGAGAUGAGUUCUCCCUGACUCCUUGAGAGUCCUGAAGGAACGUUGAAGACGACGACGUUGAUAGGCCGGGUGUGUAAGCGCAGCGAUGCGUUGAGCUAACCGGUACUAAUGAACCGUGAGGCUUAACCUU
rnacentral:rRNA from 1 species